ACCCGCACAAGCGGUGGAUGAUGUGGAUUAAUUCGAUGCAACGCGAAAAACCUUACCUACCCUUGACAUGUCUGGAACCUUGCUGAGAGGCGAGGGUGCCUUCGGGAGCCAGAACACAGGUGCUGCAUGGCUGUCGUCAGCUCGUGUCGUGAGAUGUUGGGUUAAGUCCCGCAACGAGCGCAACCCUUGUCAUUAGUUGCCAUCAUUUAGUUGGGCACUCUAAUGAGACUGCCGGUGACAAACCGGAGGAAGGUGGGGAUGACGUCAAGUCCUCAUGGCCCUUAUGGGUAGGGCUUCACACGUCAUACAAUGGUCGGUACAGAGGGUUGCCAAGCCGCGAGGUGGAGCCAAUCCCUUAAAGCCGAUCGUAGUCCGGAUCGUAGUCUGCAACUCGACUACGUGAAGUCGGAAUCGCUAGUAAUCGCAGAUCAGCAUACUGCGGUGAAUACGUUCCCGGGUCUU
rnacentral:rRNA from 1 species